GACCUCCUCUUCUUUUUGGUCUAAGAUACAUUGUGCCAGCAAGUAGUCGGCCUCUAUCAUCUGGAAACCAAAAUUUUGCUGCCUUGUUCAGGGGAGUAGCACCCUACCCAGUGAAUGGGUGGUAUAGAGCAUUAUGUUAUAAAAACCAAGGAAAAAUUAUGUUUCAUCUAUCUAUCAGUGGCAUCUGCGAUGGUCAUAAGAACUGCAUGCAGAAAAACAGCCCAUUAGCAAUUAUUAACUGCAAAACAAAAUAACAUCCCCACGCCACGAUUGAUUCUGCCGAUUCACACACACCCUGCAACCUCCCUGUGCCUCAUCCUUGAGUCGGGUUAAGAAGUACGAGCAGUGGGUAACAAUCACCCUCACCACCUUGAACUGCAGCUGCUGUUUCAGCCCUGGGAUGGUUUAGCAUGCAUUCAUUCUCUGUUGGCUUCUCCCUGCUAGUUUUGUUCACAUAUCUGGCCAAAAAUAAUUGUAUGUAUUUUCUAGCUCU